GACGAACGCUGGCGGCGUGCUUAACACAUGCAAGUCGAACGGUAAGGCCUUCGGGUACACGAGUGGCGAACGGGUGAGUAACACGUGGGUGAUCUGCCCCCUACUCUGGGAUAAGCCUGGGAAACUGGGUCUAAUACCGGAUAUGACCUCCUUCUGCAUGGUUGGUGGUGGAAAGUUUUUUCGGUAGGGGAUGAGCCCGCGGCCUAUCAGCUUGUUGGUGGGGUAAUGGCCUACCAAGGCGACGACGGGUAGCCGGCCUGGGAGGGCGACCGGUCGCAAUGGGAGUGAGGCACGGCCCAGACUCCUACGGGAGGCAGCAGUGGGGAAUAUUGCACACUGGGCGAAAGCCUGAUGCAGCGACGCCGCGUGGGGGAUGACGGCCUUCGGGUUGUAAACCCCUUUCAGUCGGGACGAAGCGAGAGUGACGGUACCGAUAGAAGAAGCACCGGCCAACUACGUGCCAGCAGCCGCCGCGGUAA
rnacentral:rRNA from 1 species